rnacentral:lncRNA from 1 species
GGGACAAUUAUGUCGUAAUUUUUGGCAGCAAGGGAUAGACACAUAAUUCAUGUUAAUAGAUGGAAAUGGCCGAUGGUAAUAUUGGUUUAGAGAUAGAUUUGGGGAAUCUGGAAGAUGAAGAAGAUAACAGAAACGAGAAAAACGGGAACGCAAUUUGUGGAAACAAGGAGGAAUCAUAACUGAAUGGGACACGUGCAUUCAGGAUACAAGACUGGUGGAGUGCACCGUUGGGUGACAAUAGCUAAAAUUUGAUCUUUCCUGGUUUCUAGUUGAUUUUCACCGCUAUAGGGAGUUAGGCUCCGUUUAUCAAAAUAAAUAAUGCACAUCACUUCUUAAUCUCAGUUGAGUGUGGUACCAGAGCUCCUGGUCCUAGGAGCUGAAUGGUAUCUAUGAGGAUGAAAGGUCAAGUUAAAGCUUUGAAAUGAAGGAUGACAUAUACAGGGUAAGUGGCAGGAAGCUCUUUGAAAGUCAAUGGGGGAGAUUAUGAAAAAUCUAUGUGCGAGUCUGGCUCAUUUCAAAGAGAAAGAUCAGAAGGACUGGAGUAAAAGGGCUUGAGGUACCUUAUUUCACACGUGAAGAUCCAUUGGAUAUACCAGGCUGGGUGAUACAGAUGACAUGGUGGUGGCAGGUGCAAUUUGUUUGGAGGAUAUGAUGCUAGUUUCAAAAGAGGGAGAACUAAGUGCGCCUCGUUGCUCACUUUCAAGAGAUCACUAUUGGGUCAAUUACAUGAAUUAUUAAUGAGCUUAAAGCAAACAAAAUCCAUGAAGAGCACAAGAGCAGUUCAAGCUCAUCUCAAGAGAUCACUAUUGGGUCAAUUACAUUAAUUAUUAAUGAGCUUAAAGCAAACAAAAUCCAUGAAGAGCACAAGAGCAGUUCAAGCUCAUCGCUCUGCGAAGUCAAGCUGACUAAGAGGUGCUUAGUAAUGUCCAGGCUGUCUGGAUGACAAACAACUAUAUAAAUCUGAACCGUAGUUCAGCAGACCUGGGACAUUGAUGAAGCUGGCUCAACUGGUGCAAGAUUGAAGUUGGGUAUUGGGGGAGGUUUUUUCAGUGUGAAGAACAGAUUUUUCCAGUCCACGUGUCAGAAUAAGCAACUACAUGUACUAUUGUUGGAAUUUAUUCUUUCCUAGUUUAUUUUCUAUGCUGUGAGGUGCUUAGCUCCGUUUCUCUCAGUAAAUAAUACUCAUCACUUCUUAAUCUGAAUUAUAGAGAAAUUAUAACAUGAUAAAUGGGGUAAAAAUUGAGGACAGUUUGUGAAUAUAAUACUAGUUAGUUAUGCACAAUGAAAAUAAGCCACAAUAAAACUGUCAUCUCAUUUUGUGUCACGUUAAAAAUGCAACUCUUUUAAGACAGAAUGAUAAGUUGGAAGUUGGAAACCUCCCAUAAACCACAAAAAGGCAUAAAACUUUCCGUGUUUUAUUUUGCUAAAAAACAAAGCAACUAAUACCAACGAUAGGGAUUUUGAUUGAUGCAGGAAGGGUUAAAGCACUAAAUGAAUGGAAGUGAGAGAGUACGCUUGGAAAGUAUUCCACUAUCCCUCCCUUUCUUCACCCAAUUCCUUUCUGCAUAUUCUUCCUACAUACAAUGUUCUACAACUCGAAAGCACUCCUUCAUUGAUAUUAUUAAAAAUAAAAGUGCAGAUAAGAAUAUAGUUGUGUUAUUUUUUAAUUACAGGUUCCUUACAUGCUACUAAGGUCAGAUUACUCAUCUUGAUUUCAUGAAAUUUAUAAAAUUGUGGAUACAUAUUGUCUCAACUGAUUUUUCAGGUGUUAUUCUUCUUUUAAGGGGAAAGAGUACAAGACUACAAUAGAACGAUUCUUGAAAAGUGAACACCAAACUCCCCUUUAUCCCUCGAAAAAAUCACCAAAAUAUUUGAUAAUAAAGAAUGAGUGACAACAAAAGGAACAUGGUUGAGCACUUUGAACCUACCGCAAUACAAAAUUCAUGUAAAGCAUAAUUGCAUGAAUAGAUCCAACCUAACACAACCAUGUACAUAAACACUCAUCCAAACAAAUAAAUUACCGUAGCAACAAUAACCUGUGCUACAAUCUCAACACUUCUCUCAGUGGGAAAAAUUUCCUUACUUGAUUAUUAUAAUUGAAAUGUACGUCAAGCAAGGUACAGAAUAAAAAGCAGCACAAAUCAAAACUGUAGACAAAUGACCAAAAUAAGAACACCACACGAGACAGAUGCUACGUAAAACAACAC